GCUUGUGUGGUCUCAUGGUCAAGAUGUGCGACUCCUGAGCAAGUGGUCGCAUGUUCGAUUCAUGCUGCUUCCC